CAGUAGCCACGGGAAUACGGAGGGGGCUAGCGUUGUUCGGAUUUACUGGGCGUAAAGCGCAUGUAGGCGGAUCGAUCAGUCAGGGGUGAAAUCCCAGAGCUCAACUCUGGAACUGCCUUUGAUACUGUCGAUCUGGAGUAUGGAAGAGGUGAGUGGAAUUCCGAGUGUAGAGGUGAAAUUCGUAGAUAUUCGGAGGAACACCAGUGGCGAAGGCGGCUUACUGGCUCAUACUGGACGCUGAGGUGCGAAAGCGUGGGGAGCAAACAGGAUUAGAUACCCCCGUAGUCCCUGUCUCUUAUAC
rnacentral:rRNA from 1 species